UGCUCUGUGCAGGCCCGAGAACACGUGCGCUCAGAAUGGAGGUUCACAGAAAAGGGAGGGAACCUCAACUGCAUCCCACAAACCAUCCAGCUUCUCCAAGCCUGCUUUCCUCAAAUAUAAGGCGUGCUAAAAAUCUCUUACUGCAAAGGCUUGCAGACCAGAUGAAUAAUAAAUGUGAAGCCCAGCAGGAGCAAGAGGAGGUGAUCAAUAUCAAUAGAGACCAGCUGGGUGAAGUCAACAGAACCGUGCCUGUCACUGGUAGACACACCAUAAGCAACAGCUCUUCUGCCCUCCCCACACACCAGGGAGGCCACGUCCAGGGCCAUGGGCCAGCAACCCCCUCCAGCCCUCUUAGCCAGGCUUGGGCUUCCCUUAUCACCAGCUGCAGGCCUCCACCGCCCACCUCUGCCGGCAACAUACGGUUUAUCCCGAAACCCAGCAUUCAAUGCAGAUGGAUGAGAUGCAUUGAGGCUUUACGGUAGGGGUGUGCCACCAUGCUGGUCACCGACCACGCUGCCCCUCCCCGCAGUCAGCCACGAAGCGGAAAGAGAUGAAGCAUACCCACACUGGUCCAGAGUCUGGGCAGACAAAAAGUGGCCCUGCUCUUGGGAGCCCACCCACCCGGUCAAUGGAAGGCACCAAGGAGCUGGAGGGUUCACCACACCUCCCCUCCUGUUGCUGCUCUUCCUGAUCUGCCUGG